GGAAUAUUGGGCAAUGGACGCAAGUCUGACCCAGCCAUGCCGCGUGCAGGAUGAAGGCGUUAUGCGUUGUAAACUGCUUUUAUACAGGAAGAAACGACUCUUGCGAGAGGCAUUGACGGUACUGUAUGAAUAAGCACCGGCUAACUCCGUGCCAGCAGCCGCGGUAAUACGGAGGGUGCAAGCGUUGUCCGGAUUUAUUGGGUUUAAAGGGUGCGCAGGUGGUUUAUUAAGUCAGUGGUGAAAGACGGUCGCUCAACGAUUGCAGUGCCAUUGAAACUGGUAGACUUGAGUAAAGUAGAGGUGGGCGGAAUUGAUAGUGUAGCGGUGAAAUGCAUAGAUAUUAUCAAGAACUCCAAUUGCGUAGGCAGCUCACUUGGCUUUUACUGACACUCAUGCACGAAAGUGUGGGUAUCAAACAGGAUUAGAUACCCUGGUAGUCCACACUGUAAACGAUGAUAACUAGGUGUCGGCCGAAUCUGGUCGGUGCCACAGCGAAAGCGUUAAGUUAUCCACCUGGGGAGUACGCCGGCAACGGUGAAACUCAAAGGAAUUGACGG
rnacentral:rRNA from 1 species